rnacentral:SRP_RNA from 1 species
GCCGGGCGUGGUGGCGGGUGCCUGUAGUCCAAGCUACUCGGGAGGCUGAGGCAGGAGAAUGGCGUGAACCCGGGAGGCGGAGCUUGCAGUGAGCCGAGAUCGCGCCACUGCACUCCAGCCUGGGCAACUAAGCAAGACUCCGUCUCAAAAAAAAAAAGAAAUUUGGGGAAAAAAGUCUUAGUUAAUGACAAACUAAUGGGGAAGCAGACACAAUUUUUUUUUUUUUUGGAGACGGAGUCUUGCUCUGUCGCCCAGGCUGGAGUGCAGUGGCACGAUCUCGGCUCACUGCAAGCUCCGCCUCCCGGGUUCACGCCAUUCUCCUGGCUCAG